rnacentral:rRNA from 1 species
GUGCCAGCAGCCGCGGUAAUACGUAGGGUGCGAGCGUUGUCCGGAAUUAUUGGGCGUAAAGAGCUCGUAGGCGGUUUGUCGCGUCGGCUGUGAAAACUGGAGGCUUAACCUUCAGCGUGCAGUCGAUACGGGCAGACUUGAGUUCGGUAGGGGAGUCUGGAAUUCCUGGUGUAGCGGUGAAAUGCGCAGAUAUCAGGAGGAACACCGGUGGCGAAGGCGGGACUCUGGGCCGAUACUGACGCUGAGGAGCGAAAGCGUGGGGAGCGAACAGGAUUAGAUACCCCCGUAGUCC